GACGAACGCUGGCGGCGUGCCUAAUACAUGCAAGUAGAACGCUGAAAAGAGGAGCUUGCUCUUCUUGGAUGAGUUGCGAACGGGUGAGUAACGCGUAGGUAACCUGCCUUGUAGCGGGGGAUAACUAUUGGAAACGAUAGCUAAUACCGCAUAACAAUGGAUGACCCAUGUCAUUUAUUUGAAAGGGGCAAAUGCUCCACUACAAGAUGGACCUGCGUUGUAUUAGCUAGUAGGUGAGGUAACGGCUCACCUAGGCGACGAUACAUAGCCGACCUGAGAGGGUGAUCGGCCACACUGGGACUGAGACACGGCCCAGACUCCUACGGGAGGCAGCAGUAGGGAAUCUUCGGCAAUGGGGGCAACCCUGACCGAGCAACGCCGCGUGAGUGAAGAAGGUUUUCGGAUCGUAAAGCUCUGUUGUAAGUCAAGAACGAGUGUGAGAGUGGAAAGUUCACACUGUGACGGUAGCUUACCAGAAAGGGACGGCUAACUACGUGCCAGCAGCCGCGGUAAUACGUAGGUCCCGAGCGUUGUCCGGAUUUAUUGGGCGUAAAGCGAGCGCAGGCGGUUUGAUAAGUCUGAAGUUAAAGGCUGUGGCUCAACCAUAGUUCGCUUUGGAAACUGUCAAACUUGAGUGCAGAAGGGGAGAGUGGAAUUCCAUGUGUAGCGGUGAAAUGCGUAGAUAUAUGGAGGAACACCGGUGGCGAAAGCGGCUCUCUGGUCUGUAACUGACGCUGAGGCUCGAAAGCGUGGGGAGCGAACAGGAUUAGAUACCCUGGUAGUCCACGCCGUAAACGAUGAGUGCUAGGUGUUGGAUCCUUUCCGGGAUUCAGUGCCGCAGCUAACGCAUUAAGCACUCCGCCUGGGGAGUACGACCGCAAGGUUGAAACUCAAAGGAAUUGACGGGGGCCCGCAUAAGCGGUGGAGCAUGUGGUUUAAUUCGAAGCAACGCGAAGAACCUUACCAGGUCUUGACAUCCCGAUGCUAUUUCUAGAGAUAGAAAGUUACUUCGGUACAUCGGUGACAGGUGGUGCAUGGUUGUCGUCAGCUCGUGUCGUGAGAUGUUGGGUUAAGUCCCGCAACGAGCGCAACCCCUAUUGUUAGUUGCCAUCAUUCAGUUGGGCACUCUAGCGAGACUGCCGGUAAUAAACCGGAGGAAGGUGGGGAUGACGUCAAAUCAUCAUGCCCCUUAUGACCUGGGCUACACACGUGCUACAAUGGUUGGUACAACGAGUUGCGAGUCGGUGACGGCAAGCUAAUCUCUUAAAGCCAAUCUCAGUUCGGAUUGUAGGCUGCAACUCGCCUACAUGAAGUCGGAAUCGCUAGUAAUCGCGGAUCAGCACGCCGCGGUGAAUACGUUCCCGGGCCU
rnacentral:rRNA from 1 species